rnacentral:rRNA from 1 species
AUUGAACGCUGGCGGCAUGCCUUACACAUGCAAGUCGAACGGUAACGCGGGGCAACCUGGCGACGAGUGGCGAACGGGUGAGUAAUGCAUCGGAACGUGCCCAGUAGUGGGGGAUAGCCCGGCGAAAGCCGGAUUAAUACCGCAUACGACCUACGGGUGAAAGGGGGGGAUCGCAAGACCUCUCGCUAUUGGAGCGGCCGAUGUCAGAUUAGGUAGUUGGUGGGGUAAAGGCCUACCAAGCCGACGAUCUGUAGCUGGUCUGAGAGGACGACCAGCCACACUGGGACUGAGACACGGCCCAGACUCCUACGGGAGGCAGCAGUGGGGAAUUUUGGACAAUGGGCGCAAGCCUGAUCCAGCCAUGCCGCGUGCGGGAAGAAGGCCUUCGGGUUGUAAAGCGCUUUAAGCGAGGAGGAGGCUACUGGUACUAAUACUACUGGAUAGUGGACGUUACUCGCAGAAUAAGCACCGGCUAACUCUGUGCCAGCAGCCGCAGUAAGAC